GACGAACCGUGCGAACGUUGUUCGGAAUUACUGGGCGUAAAGGGUUCGUAGGCGGUGCGGCAAGUUGGGAGUGAAAUCUCUGGGCUUAACCCAGAGGCUGCUUUCAAAACUGCCGUGCUCGAGUGCGGGAGAGGCGAGUGGAAUUGCAGGUGUAGCGGUGAAAUGCGUAGAGAUCUGCAGGAACACCCGUGGCGAAGGCGGCUCGCUGGACCGCAACUGACGCUGAGGAACGAAAGCUAGGGGAGCAAACAGG
rnacentral:rRNA from 1 species